rnacentral:tRNA from 1 species
GAGAGAGGCCAGCUGGCAACAAAGACUGCUAAUCUUUGCCCCCUCAGUUGAACUCCGAGGCUCCCUCA